UACGUAGGGUGCGAGCGUUAAUCGGAAUUACUGGGCGUAAAGUGUGCGCAGGUGGCCGCGCAAGUCGAGUGUGAAAGCCCCGGGCUUAACUUGGGAAUUGCGCUUGAAACUACGGAGCUGGAGUGUGGCAGAGGGAGGUAGAAUUCCACGUGUAGCGGUGAAAUGCGUAGAUAUGUGGAGGAAUACCGAUGGCGAAGGCAGCCUCCUGGGCCAACACUGACGCUCAUGCACGAAAGCGUGGGGAGCAAACAGG
rnacentral:rRNA from 1 species